rnacentral:misc_RNA from 1 species
UAAUAAGUGUUUUAUGGCACUUUUUAAAUCCAUAUCCACCUUGUGUGCAAUGUCAGUCGAUCUUCUUUCAUGGAGAUCGACCAAACAUCAACCUUUAUCUUUUAACUCUUUGUCUGAAAAAUAUUAUGAAUAAACAAUUCAAAAUA